GUGACAUUUCACCAACUUUACAGGAGAUCCAAAACAAAAAUUUUACCAUAGUUUGAUCUGACUUUGUGUACUGAUUUCAAAUAUUUAUAA